rnacentral:tRNA from 1 species
GUUAAUGUAGCUUAAUUAAUAAAGCAAGGCACUGAAAAUGCCAAGAUGAGUCAUGAGACUCCAUAAACA